CUUACCUUUCUUACUCUCAUCUCUAGACCUCCUUCUCUCCCUCCCUUCUACCCUUCUCUCCAAGUGGCCAUGGCUGGUCUCCCUCUUUCUACCUUCUCUCUUUCUCCUUGCCUUUCUACAAUUAAGCUCUAAAACCAUAGACUGUCUCUGCUCAUCAAGGCCCGCUGUACUUGAAAGAUGGGAUGGGCUUUCCCCUAAAGAGCUGCUUCUAACCUCCCAACGGAAGGCCUUCCUGUGCUCCAGCAACUGACAGAACCAAGAACUCUUGCCCUCAUGAGAACUGUCCAGCGCCCCCUCUCUCCCUGCCCUCUCCUUCCUUUGGCCCCAGAGACCUCAGACUGCUCCUUGUCUACCCCCCACUGGACUAGGGUUCCCUGGCUUCCCAUAGCCAGACACCCACCCGGCGCCACUUGGAAAGCAUGCAGCAGUCCUCCGGCAUCCACCCGCCCAGAGCACCAGAACUCCGGUGGGACUCAGGUUUUCCCCCACCUCCUUUAGAGAACUGAUCUAAUAUGGAAACAAUUUGUUCUAUACUUCAAGUGAAAGAAUACUUAUUGAUUAAUGCUGCAUUGGAGGUCAUCACUGGGGAUAUUAUCCAAUGAAGACAUUCUCAUGACUGGACACUGAAGAUUUACCAUUUUGUAACAUUCAGUUGCGACUCUCGGGAAAAGCAGACAAUCAAGCAUGGACAAGUGGAUAAAGCAAGUCCAGGACACUCAUCAUCAUCAGGAUAUCACACGACA
rnacentral:lncRNA from 1 species